UCGCGCUAGACGGGGAGUUAGCGGUGCCCUGUACCCGCAAUCCGCUACAGCGGGGUCGAACUCCCCUUUGAGGGGUGCGCUGUUCGGAGCGGCGUUUCGUGCGACUGCGUUGAUGGCCUGGUCCUGCGCGACCUGGUUCCGUGAACCCUGUCAGGUCCGGAAGGAAGCAGCAGUAAGCGGGGUGCCGGGGCGCCGCAGCCCACCGGGCCUGAGUGGUCCACGUUGUGUCCCCGGGCGGCGUUACAACGAGAAGGGGUGCGCGG
rnacentral:SRP_RNA from 1 species